rnacentral:rRNA from 1 species
GUGCCAGCAGCCGCGGUAAUACCGGCAGCCCGAGUGAUGGCCGAUCUUAUUGGGCCUAAAGCGUCCGUAGCCAGCCGAACAAGUCCGUUGGGAAAUCCACCCGCCUAACGGGUGGGCGUCCGGUAGAAACUGGCCGGCUUGGAACCGGAAGGCUCAGAGAGUACGUCCGGGGUAGGAGUGAAAUCCCGUAAUCCCGGACGGACUACCGAUGGCGAAAGCACUCUGAGAAGACGGCUUCGACAGUGAGGGACGAAAGCUCGGGUCUCAAACCGGAUUAGAAACCCUGGUAGUCC